rnacentral:sRNA from 1 species
GGGUGACUCCUUGGCGCUUGCGCGCUGUUUUGAUGAAGAUUCGCACCUCUAUCAAAACGGGUAACCCAACCUCUUGGCAAGGCCUUACUGUCAGAUCAAGUCUGAACUUCUACACCUAAGUGGGGGCCGUGUCCGGAGUUACGGGGGCAACUCCAGUCAUGUUCUCGGUUCCUCUGUCGGCAUUAUCUCCGGCUCAGGUCUCGGUCG